rnacentral:rRNA from 1 species
AGUGAACGCUGGCGGUAGGCCUAACACAUGCAAGUCGAACGGCAGCACAGUAAGAGCUUGCUCUUACGGGUGGCGAGUGGCGGACGGGUGCGGAAUACAUCGGAAUCUACUUUUUCGUGGGGGAGAACGUAGGGAAACUUACGCUAAUACCGCAUACGACCUACGGGUGAAAGCAGGGGAUCUUCGGACCUUGCGCGAUUGAAUGAGCCGAUGUCGGAUUAGCUAGUUGGCGGGGUAAAGGCCCACCAAGGCGACGAUCCGUAGCUGGUCUGAGAGGAUGAUCAGCCACACUGGAACUGAGACACGGUCCAGACUCCUACGGGAGGCAGCAGUGGGGAAUAUUGGACAAUGGGCGCAAGCCUGAUCCAGCCAUACCGCGUGGGUGAAGAAGGCCUUCGGGUUGUAAAGCCCUUUUGUUGGGAAAGAAAAGCAGCAGGUUAAUACCCCGCUGUUCUGACGGUACCAAAAGAAUAAGCACCGGCUAACUUCGUG